GACGAACGCUGGCGGCGUGCUUAACACAUGCAAGUCGAGCGGUAAGGCCCUUUCGGGGUACACGAGCGGCGAACGGGUGAGUAACACGUGGGUGACCUGCCCUCAGCUCUGGGAUAACGCCUGGGAAACCGGGUCGUAAUAACCGGAUAUAGACUCCAUGACGCAUGUUGUGGGUGGAAAGCCUUGUGCGGCUGAGGAAU
rnacentral:rRNA from 1 species